UACGUAGGGGGCAAGCGUUGUCCGGAUUUAUUGGGCGUAAAGAGCUCGUAGGUGGUUCGGUAAGUCGGAUGUGAAAUCUCCAGGCUCAACCUGGAGGGGUCAUUCGAUACUGCCGUGACUAGAGUUCGGUAGGGGAGUGUGGAAUCCUGGUGGAGCGGUGAAAUGCGCAGAUAUCAGGAGGAACACCUGUGGCGAAAGCGGCUCACUGGACCAUAACUGACGCUGAUGCACGAAAGCUAGGGGAGCAAACAGG
rnacentral:rRNA from 1 species